AGAGUUUGAUUAUGGCUCAGGAUGAACGCUGGCGGCGUGCUUAACACAUGCAAGUCGAACGAGGUCCAACCUUCGGGUGAAGACCGAGUGGCGAACGGGUGAGUAACACGUGGGGAACCUGCCCUUCUCUCUGGGAUAACCUCGGGAAACCGAAGCUAAUACCGGAUACUCCUUGCGGACCGCAUGGUCUGCUCGGGAAAGCUCCGGCGGAGAAGGAUGGCCCCGCGGCCCAUUAGCUUGUUGGUGGGGUAACGGCCCACCAAGGCGACGAUGGGUAGCCGAGCUGAGAGGCUGAUCGGCCACACUGGGACUGAGACACGGCCCAGACUCCUACGGGAGGCAGCAGUGGGGAAUCUUGCGCAAUGGGCGAAAGCCUGACGCAGCAACGCCGCGUGCGGGAUGAAGGCUCUCGGGUCGUAAACCGCUUUCAGCAGGGAUGAAAAUGACAGUACCUGCAGAAGAAGCCCCGGCUAAAUACGUGCCAGCAGCCGCGGUAAUACGUAUGGGGCAAGCGUUAUCCGGAUUCAUUGGGCGUAUAGCGCGCGUAGGCGGCUUGUUAAGUCAGGCGUGAAAUCCGGGGGCUCAACCCGCGGCUUGCGUCUGAAACUGGCAGGCUUGAGUCUGGUAGAGGAAAGUGGAAUUCUUGGUGUAGCGGUGAAAUGCGCAGAUGUCAGGAGGAACACCAGUGGCGAAGGCGGCUUUCUGGGCCACGACUGACGCUGAGGCGCGAAAGCUAGGGGAGCGAACAGGAUUAGAUACCCUGGUAGUC
rnacentral:rRNA from 1 species